AUGGCGACCGGCGCACGGGUGAGUAACGCGUAUGCAACCUGCCCUCUUCAGGGGGACAACCUUCCGAAAGGGAGGCUAAUCCCGCGUAUAUCGGUUUCGGGCAUCCGAGAUCGAGGAAAGAUUCAUCGGAAGAGGAUGGGCAUGCGGCGCAUUAGCUAGACGGCGGGGUAACGGCCCACCGUGGCGACGAUGCGUAGGGGUUCUGAGAGGAAGGUCCCCCACACUGGUACUGAGACACGGACCAGACUCCUACGGAAGGCAGCAG
rnacentral:rRNA from 1 species